CCGGGUGUGGCGAAGUUUGGUAUCGCGCUUGAAUGGGGUUCAAGAGGCCGCAGGUUCGACUCCUGUCACUCGGACCA
rnacentral:tRNA from 1 species